GUCAACUAUUGGGGGGAAAACAAAUACAAUAGUGAUGGCGCAUUCUCUUUGGAAACUAGUACUAAAUGCAUACCAAGAUAAUAACAAUGGGUCGAUUUUGUGAGGCACAUCUAAGGCAUUCUUGUUGUGUUUACUGGGCUUAAAGAUAGACGGUUCCGGGACAGGACUGGGGACAACAUUUUUACAACCUGCCACAGGAAACCCGCUUGUUGCUGCAGUUGAACAAAGGGUGAAGCGGGUAAAGCAUAUAGCUUCCGCCUGGAACGUCCUUCACCAUGUCCUCCGGAUGACUAAGAUGCGUGGCGUUAUUCAGCUCACAAGUCUCCGUAUUUAGGAAAAAGUUGAUGCUGUGGCACUGUGUCUUAGCGUCACACGCCAUCCAGCAAAGUGCUCUGGUGGAGCCCUCGAUCCGCUCGAUCACGUGAUUUGCUAGAAUAUUCUCACCUUGAUCCCUUUCUAAGUCGCACUGCUCGAGGGACGUCGCCUGUUGCCAUAGCGACAAGGUCGUCCAAACAAUGAGUGUCAUGAAACUGGGCAUCCUGGCAUAGAAAUAAACGGUUGAGCUUCGAUAGAUGUUUCAAUU